rnacentral:rRNA from 1 species
CCUACGGGAGGCAGCAGUGAGGAAUAUUGGUCAAUGGGCGAGAGCCUGAACCAGCCAAGUAGCGUGAAGGAUGACUGCCCUACGGGUUGUAAACUUCUUUUGUACAGGAAUAACACGCUGCACGUGUGCCUUUUUGCAUGUACUUUAUGAAUAAGGAUCGGCUAACUCCGUGCCAGCAGCCGCGGUAAUACGGAGGAGCCGAGCGUUAUCCGGCUUUAUUGGGUUUAAAGGGAGCGUAGAUGGGUUGUUAAGUCAGUUGUGAAAGUUUGCGGCCCAACCGUAAAAUUGCAAUUGAUACUGGCAGGCUUGAGUACAGUUGAGGGAGGCGGAAUUCGUGGUGUAGCGGUGAAAUGCUUAGAUAUCACGAAGAACCCCGAUUGCGAAGGCAGCUUACUAAACUGCGACUGACAUUGAUGCUCGAAAGUGUGAGUAUCAAACAGGAUUAGAUACCCGAGUAGUC